UGUCAUACUGCUGCUGAAACACAGGAAUUUCCCUAUUGUGGAAUCAAUAAAAUCCUGUUUUAUCUUGUAUCUUAAUUUCUUUUGCAGCUUCUGCCACACUGGGAGAAAACCUUUGGCAUUGACCUGUCCUCCCCACAGAUUGGUGUUGUUGAUACUGAUGAUAGAGAGAGAAAAGCACAUCAACAACAACAACAGCAGAACACAGGCAGAAUGGUUGGACCAGGGACUGGACACAGGCAAGACUGUUGUACCAGGGACUGGACACCGGCAGGAUGGUUGGACCAGGGACUGGACACAGGCAGGAUAUUCAAGUGUUGAACUACUGUAUGCUAACUACUGUAUGUACUGUAUGUCUGAAUAUUAAAUUUGAUGUUGUCCUU